AGAACUUAACCCACUAGGCCCCCCUCUAUUUACACAGAACAUAACACCUUGAGUUAAACAGCAAAAAAAAUGGUACUGUUUGUAAAUCCUUCAAAUCCAUCUCAGAUCAGCAAAAUUGUCCAUCGACAUUGACAAGACUUGACCAGAAUGACCCAAACACAGCGCAAUAGGCCCCAUCGGUGGCCGUUCGGUGGCCGUUCGAGUACGUUCUUAUAUGCCCUCCCACAUUCACUCAAUUGGCCAUCAAAAGCGAGUGACGGGUUUUAUGACUAUUGGGGAUUGUGAAGAAGUUUGGAUCGUUGGAGACAUACAUAGUAUGUACUUCGUGCAUGAACUUUGGUGUUGGGUUAACGACUGAGAUCAUUUUUUGAGUCGGCAGAGAAUUCGGAUAUAAAACAAUCAUACAAAAUGAACCGAUCAGUAGCAGAUGCUAUAAUCUGCUACACAGAAAAAAUAAUUCUUAAUGAUUCAACUUCAAAACGAAAUGCCUUGUGGCUGGCAUAGGCUUUCAUGAUUUGUGGCAGUAAAUAAAAGGAACAAAAAGUCAUCAUAAAAGCACCUUGUAAAUCUCUCGUUGUCGCCUUGUCACUUCCCCUUUUUAAGCGGCCAAUUGUUCGGAUGCAAUUAUAUAGCCAGCCUAAUGAAAUUUGAUAUGCCAAAAAAAAAACAAACCAAUUACAUGCAACAGCCGCUGCCAUCGACCACUGACCACCGCUGACUUCUGGCGAAGAGAGUGAAAGAGUGAGCGGGAGAGAGAGAGAGCGGACAGCGGACAGGAGAGUGCUUUGGAAACGGGUUAAGAGAAUCGAGAACAAGUGGCCGAUCGGUGUGCGGGUCGGUCGGUUGCGCUUGGCUUGCGCAGAAUUCUAAACUUGUUAGAAGAGUCCGACCGUCCGAG